CCCACCUUGGAAAGGAUGGAGGUGACUGAGGGUGUCGGGGCUCCAGAACCCGGCGAGAUCCGGAAUCUAAAGCAGUGUCUGCUGCACAGCAACUACAGCCUCGAACAGCACGGUGUGGCCAUCUCCUAUCUGGAGGAGCUGAGGAGCAAGGCCUGUGACAUUCUGGCCAUUGAUAAGUCUCUGACACCAGUUACCCUGGUCCUGGCAGAGGAUGGCACCAUAGUGGAUGAUGAUGAUAACUUCCUGUGUCUACCUUCUAACACUAAGUUUGUGGCAUUGGCCAGUAAUGAGAAGUGGGUAUACAGCAAUUCAGAUGGAGGUACAGCAUGGAUUUCCCAAGAGUCCUUUGAUGUAGAUGAAACAGACAGCAGGGCAGGGUUGAAGUGGAAGAAUGUGGUCAGGCAGCUGAAAGAAGAUCUAGCCAACAUCAUCCUCCUGUCAGAGGAGGACCUCCAAGUGCUCAUCGAUGUUCCCUGUUCAGACCUGGCUCAGGAACUAUGCCAAAGUUGUGCCACCAUCCAGGGGCUCCAGAACACACUCCAGCGGGUGCUUGACCAGAGAGAGGAGGCCCGCCAGUCCAAGCAAUUCCUGGAGCUUUAUCUACAGGCUUUGGGGAAGGAGGGCAGCACUUUGUCAAAGCAGGAAGAGUCCAGAGCUGGUUUCAAUGAAGAGGGAGAUGCAGUUGACACGAGUGUCAGCAGAGAGCUCUCCUCUGAAAUUGCACUGACGGGCCAGUUCCUCACUGCACUGAAAGAGAAGCCUGCUCCAGAGCUGAGUUUAUCUAGUCAGGAUUUGGAGUUGGUUACCAAAGAAGACCCCAGAGCACUGGCUCUUGCUUUGAACUGGGACAUGAAGAAGACAGAAAACAUCCAGCAGGCCUGAAAGCAGGAGCUCGCCCUGCACCUGCAGCAGAUCCAGAGCCUGCAUUCUCUCCGGAACAUCUCAGCAAGGAAGAAUUCACUAUCUGAAGAACCGCAGAAUCCUAAAGGAGCCAGACAAGAUCCCACAUAG